rnacentral:lncRNA from 1 species
GCCAGACAUUCUUCUAAACAUUUGAUAAUGCAUCAUCCCAAUUCUGGCAACAAACCCACAAGACCAUCUGCACGACUGUCCCUAUUAUCAUGGUGCGGAGAAGUUAAGUACGGUAUCCCACACGGCGCACUGGAGGUGUGAGUCCAGGAAGUCAGACCCGGAGCAGGGCUCUCUCACUCAACCACAUCUCCUCCCAAAGUGUCAUACCUGUGAGCCCCUAGGUUCGCAAGGCGGUGGCUUAAUGUUUUCAAACCAAUCCGCCUUACCUAUCCUCUGUUUCCGAUGCUUCUAGCUGAGAAAAACGGUCUAAAUUCAAACAGACAACGUGAGAUUCUUCCCAGAACGGGUGUCCAACUACCUACUCACGAUUCGCAGCCAUCGAGUUGCAUGAAGAUACUUUUCCUCCAAAUCCAGGGCUGGCAAACGUUUCCCGGGAGAGGCGGAUGGUAAAUAUUUUACAUUCUGGGGGCCGUCGGGUCACGGUUAGAACUUACUCAAAAUCUGCUUGCGUAGUGAGAAAGCCGUCAACGGUUAAAUAAGCAAGGCUGCAUUCCAAUAAAACUUUAUUUAUGGACACUACAUUUUGAAUUUCAUAUAGUUUUUAUGUGUCAUGAAAUAUUAUUCUUCUUUUGCUUUCCCUUUACGACGUGGCAGACGUUAAAACCAUUCCUACCUCUGAGGAUGAACAAAAAAACGGGCAGUGUGUUUGAUCCGGCCCGCGGGCUAUUGUUUGCCAAACUGCCUCAAACCGCUCGCUUAUAUCCAAAUCAAUCUUUGGGACCACACGAGGCUUCUCUGAAGCAGGCCUGGGAUUUUCCUAGCCAAAAGUGCGUGAAAUCAGAGGGAAGGGUCUCCCAGACGUGUGCCCUCACUCCUGGCUACACUGAGCAUGCGGUCCCAGGAGAACGAUCCCCCCCGGGCUUCACUCCCUGUGACUCAGGCACCCGUCCCAGAGCUUACCAGGUCACCAGCUUGGGCUUGAAGGAACCAAUUUCCAACUCCGGUCUCACACCGAAAGCAACCCCACAAGGAAGCCAGAAAAUACAGUGUUUUCAACUUUGCAUCGGGAGCCGUGGGGCUGGCCGGACGUGGGGCCUCAGGCCCCGCACAGAACCAGGCCCCAGCUUGGGAGGCACUUGGGGAAGGGAAUGUCCCUCCAACUAACCUCUUAAGGUUUGCCCUUCCGCCUUUCUGUGACUGUAAUGGCUACACAACCGAAGCGUCUGGACGGAAAGGGGGCACUGUGCUCACUACCCGGUUAAUUACACAAAGCCUCAGCCGCCGGCUCCU